UUACUUACCUGGCAGGGGAGAUACCACGAUCAUGAAGAAGGUUUUCCCAGGACGAGACUUACCCAUUGCAUUCUGGGUGUGCUGACCCCUGUGAUUUUCCCAAAUGUGGGAAACUUGACUGCAUAAUUUGGGGAAGUGGGGGACCGUGUUCUUACUCUCCCCUA